UUGAGAGUUUGAUCCUGGCUCAGAACGAACGCUGGCGGCAGGCCUAACACAUGCAAGUCGAGCGCUACC
rnacentral:rRNA from 1 species